rnacentral:rRNA from 1 species
UGGGGAAUCUUGCACAAUGGGCGAAAGCCUGAUGCAGCGACGCCGCGUGGGGGAUGAAGGCCUUCGGGUUGUAAACUCCUUUCGCUAGGGACGAAGAUGUAUUUUGACGGUACCUGGAGAAGAAGCACCGGCUAACUACGUGCCAGCAGCCGCGGUAAUACGUAGGGUGCGAGCGUUGUCCGGAAUUACUGGGCGUAAAGAGCUCGUAGGUGGUUUGUCACGUCGUCUGUGAAAUCCCGAGGCUUAACUUCGGGCGUGCAGGCGAUACGGGCAUAACUUGAGUGCUGUAGGGGAGACUGGAAUUCCUGGUGUAGCGGUGAAAUGCGCAGAUAUCAGGAGGAACACCAAUGGCGAAGGCAGGUCUCUGGGCAGUAACUGACGCUGAGGAGCGAAAGCAUGGGUAGCGAACAGG